GACGAGCGGCGGACGGGUGAGUAAUACUUAGGAAUCUACCUAGUAGUGGGGGAUAGCACGGGGAAACUCGUAUUAAUACCGCAUACGACCUACGGGAGAAAGGGGGCAGUUUACUGCUCUCGCUAUUAGAUGAGCCUAAGUCGGAUUAGCUAGAUGGUGGGGUAAAGGCCUACCAUGGCGACGAUCUGUAGCUGGUCUGAGAGGAUGAUCAGCCACACCGGGACUGAGACACGGCCCGGACUCCUACGGGAGGCAGCAGUGGGGAAUAUUGGACAAUGGGGGAAACCCUGAUCCAGCCAUGCCGCGUGUGUGAAGAAGGCCUUUUGGUUGUAAAGCACUUUAAGCAGUGAAGAAGACUCCAUGGUUAAUACCCAUGGACGAUGACAUUAGCUGCAGAAUAAGCACCGGCUAACUCUGUGCCAGCAGCCGCGGUAAUACAGAGGGUGCAAGCGUUAAUCGGAAUUACUGGGCGUAAAGGGAGCGUAGGUGGCUCUAUAAGUCAGAUGUGAAAUCCCCGGGCUUAACCUGGGAACUGCAUCUGAAACUGUAGAGCUAGAGUAUGUGAGAGGAAGGUAGAAUUCCAGGUGUAGCGGUGAAAUGCGUAGAGAUCUGGAGGAAUACCGAUGGCGAAGGCAGCCUUCUGGCAUAAUACUGACACUGAGGCUCGAAAGCGUGGGUAGCAAACAGGAUUAGAUACCCUGGUAGUCCACGCCGUAAACGAUGUCUACUAGUCGUUGGGUCCCUUGAGGACUUAGUGACGCAGCUAACGCAAUAAGUAGACCGCCUGGGGAGUACGGCCGCAAGGUUAAAACUCAAAUGAAUUGACGGGGGCCCGCACAAGCGGUGGAGCAUGUGGUUUAAUUCGAUGCAACGCGAAGAACCUUACCUGGUCUUGACAUAUCUAGAAUCCUGCAGAGAUGCGGGAGUGCCUUCGGGAAUUAGAAUACAGGUGCUGCAUGGCUGUCGUCAGCUCGUGUCGUGAGAUGUUGGGUUAAGUCCCGCAACGAGCGCAACCCUUGUCCUUAGUUACCAGCGGGUUAAGCCGGGAACUCUAAGGAUACUGCCAGUGACAAACUGGAGGAAGGCGGGGACGACGUCAAGUCAUCAUGGCCCUUACGACCAGGGCUACACACGUGCUACAAUGGUAGGUACAGAGGGCAGCUACACAGCGAUGUGAUGCGAAUCUCAAAAAGCCUAUCGUAGUCCAGAUUGGAGUCUGCAACUCGACUCCAUGAAGUAGGAAUCGCUAGUAAUCGCGGAUCAGAAUGCCGCGGUGAAUACGUUCCCGGGCCUUGUACACACCGCCCGUCACACCAUGGGAGUUGAUUGCACCAGAA
rnacentral:rRNA from 1 species